rnacentral:rRNA from 1 species
UCCAGACUCCUACGGGAGGCAGCAGUGGGGGAUAUUGCACAAUGGGGGAAACCCUGAUGCAGCGACGCCGCGUGAGUGAAGAAGUAUUUCGGUAUGUAAAGCUCUAUCAGCAGGGAAGAAAAUGACAGUACCUGACCAAGAAGCCCCGGCUAACUACGUGCCAGCAGCCGCGGUAAUACGUAGGGGGCAAGCGUUAUCCGGAUUUACUGGGUGUAAAGGGAGCGUAGACGGCCAUGCAAGCCUGGAGUGAAAGCCCGGGGCCCAACCCCGGGACUGCUCUGGGAACUGUGCGGCUGGAGUGCGGGAGGGGCAGGCGGAAUUCCUGGUGUAGCGGUGAAAUGCGUAGAUAUCAGGAGGAACACCGGCGGCGAAGGCGGCCUGCUGGACCGCGACUGACGUUGAGGCUCGAAAGCGUGGGGAGCAACCAGGAUUAGAUACCCCCGUA